CUGUCCCAUAGAUAAGAACCAACCUCCGUGGACCUCUCAUACCCUUGCAUGCAUGUGUAUUCUUGUGAAGGUUCUAUAUUUACAUCAAUCUUUAAAUAUCUCUGAUGGUCGCCCUGCAAAUGAGGAUGAGUCCAAGUGUACAUUGUUGUGUGCUUGUGUGUGUGUGUGUAAUGUGUGUGGGAGUAUAAGUGCGUGUGCUUGUGUGUGAUGUGAGGGAGAUUUCUCUGUAAAGAGAUGACUGUCAGUGUUCAGCAGUGGAUCGAUAGUAAAGGAUGAAGCUUCUACUGAGCAGUGUGCUACUCGCCUUCUUCUGUGCACGCUCGAGUGUUUCAUCUGCCGGUGAAUCUGCUGUUAGGCAGAGCCAUGAUGUCUCUGUGCUGGAGGGGGAGACGGUAGAGAUCACCUGCUGCUGGACACUAGAGUAUGAAAGAGGGAGAGUUAAUUGGCAGAAAAAUAAAACAGAGUUAACGAGGAAACAGAUGAUCUUCAAGAAUUACUCUUAUGGAUCACUGCAAAAUAAGACGUCUAACUGCUCACAACUGACCUUAAUGCAUGUCACAAGAGGCGAUUCAGGGACAUACAUCUGCAAGGUGAGAGUGGAAAUACCCAGUCUCAAUGAGGUGCUAGGAAAUGGUACCGUCCUCACAAUCACUGCCAAGGACAUCACAGGUAUGGUGACACAACACCCGUGGCAUUACAGUGUUGCAUAAAGGGUUUGCCAAUGGAUGAGGACAAAAUGUGAUGAAAAACAAAGACAGUAUAUAUUAUAUACAGUCAUGGCCAAGGACAACACAGAGCAGGGUAGGUCACUGUUGCCCCAUUAGGUGCUGUACGUACGCCCUGUUAUAUAUGUAGUUUAAGCUGGUUGCCUCUGUGGUUACGUUUCAGGUUCUCAAAAAGUGCUUGCUCAUGUCCUGAGGAGCCUGCCCCUCCUUGCCCUCAUCAUCACCGUGUUCUCCAUCCACAUUUUAGUGAGGAAAGCUCAGCAACAAACACCAGCUGCGCCGCAAAAUCUACACACGACGGCUCAAAGAGGAAAAGAAAACGAAGAGGAAGUGGAAAGAGAUAAUAUGGAGAUAGAAGCAGUGAGAAGGACCAAGGCCAUACAAAAGAAUCAUUCAUGAUUAAGACAAAUUAAAUGUAAUAAAUGUGCACCGUUUCUCUAUUUCUGUGUUUCCUUUCACUCAGCUGUGUUCCUGAAAGCAUGCCAUUAAAAUCAAUGGUUACGGGGCCAGUGUCAUUUUUUCCCCCGGAU